rnacentral:misc_RNA from 1 species
GCAAACUUGGUCAUUUAGAGGAAGUAAAAGUCGUAACAAGGUUUCCGUAGGUGAACCUGCGGAAGGAUCAUUAUCGAAUAAACCUGGUGGGUUGUUGCUGACCUCCUUGGGGGUAUGUGCACACCUGCCAUAAGUUUCAUUCAUCCCCUUCCACCUGUGCACUCUCUGUAGGCUACACAUUGUCACCUUCAGUUUAAGUCCAUCUGGGCAUUCUGGUAUGGGGACUUGCUUUGGCUGUCCUUGGAUAGUGUGGUCUAUGUCUUUAUCAACACUAUGACAUGGAAUGUUUGUUUUGGGUUUAUGUAGACCCAUAAAAUCCUAUACAACUUUCAACAACGGAUCUCUUGGCUCUCGCAUCGAUGAAGAACGCAGC